rnacentral:rRNA from 1 species
UACGGAGGAUGCAAGCGUUAUCCGGAAUGAUUGGGCGUAAAGCGUCCGCAGGUGGCUAUGUAAGUCUGCUGUUAAAGAGUGAGGCUCAACCUCAUAAAAGCAGUGGAAACUACAUGGCUAGAGUGCGUUCGGGGCAGAGGGAAUUCCUGGUGUAGCGGUGAAAUGCGUAGAUAUCAGGAAGAACACCGGUGGCGAAAGCGCUCUGGGACGGUACUGACGCUGAGACGCGAAAGCGUGGGGAGCGAACAGG